CAGCAGCCGCGGUAAUACGUAGGUGGCAAGCGUCGUCCGGAAUUAUUGGGCGUAAAGGGCUCGCAGGCGGUUUCUUAAGUCUGAUGUGAAAGCCCCCGGCUCAACCGGGGAGGGUCAUUGGAAACUGGGAAACUUGAGUGCAGAAGAGGAGAGUGGAAUUCCACGUGUAGCGGUGAAAUGCGUAGAGAUGUGGAGGAACACCAGUGGCGAAGGCGACUCUCUGGUCUGUAACUGACGCUGAGGAGCGAAAGCGUGGGGAGCGAACAGGAUUAGAUACCCGCGUAGUCCCUGUCUCUUAUAC
rnacentral:rRNA from 1 species